rnacentral:rRNA from 1 species
CACGCAGGGUGCGAGCGUUGUCCGGAAUUAUUGGGCGUAAAGAGCUCGUAGGCGGUGUGUCGCGUCGGCCGUGAAAACCUGCAGCUUAACUGUGGGCGUGCGGUCGAUACGGGCAUCACUGGAGUUCGGCAGGGGAGACUGGAAUUCCUGGUGUAGCGGUGAAAUGCGCAGAUAUCAGGAGGAACACCGGUGGCGAAGGCGGGUCUCUGGGCCGAUACUGACGCUGAGGAGCGAAAGCGUGGGGAGCGAACAGG